UAUGUAGGACAUUUGUCCUUACCAACUGUCCAAAAGACAUGCAAAUGUAUUACUCAUUAUCGAAGAAUCAGAGCUAGUGCUCUAUAUUUCAGUCGACCAAGAGAAAUGGUAGAAACUAUCCUUAGCUUUCUUCUUCCUUAGUUUCUUAAAGUAGCCUAAAGACAAUCAAGAGGAAAAGGAGAGAACCACACACAAGUAGAAACUCAUUUCUUACAUUUCUUCAACCGUGAAAACCAGUUAAAAAUCAAGAAAAAAUUUGUAGUCUAUCUAACUAAGAGUCGGGAAAAGAGAGACAUCAGCAAUCUUCCAAACUUAAAGCCAUUAAGAACUGGAGGUAAUCUACUAAAUUUUUUUCAAUUUUCUUCUGUGUUUAGUUAGCACUACCGUGACACCAAGUGGUUGACAUUAUCCGGUAGGGACUCAAACAAAGGAGAUUAGUCUAUCGAAAUUUUUUUUUUUAACUAAAAAAUGUCCAAAAGUAUUACAAGUAAACUUAAGCAAUUUUAACACAAGUAAUAAUAUAUUUGGAUUAAAUCCGUAAUUUGAAGUUUUAAAUCUGAAACCUCUUUUAUAAGUACAAUUAAUUACACUAACAAAUAUUAGUGAUUUAACUUGGAAACAUUAAAUUGCCAACCACUAAUACAAUCUAAUAUGUUAGUUGAAAUAUUUAUUGUUUGUAACAUAAUAUCCACAUGGCUUAAGAAAGGCGAUCGGAAGACAAGCAUUAGAAUUAAUACUAGGCAUUUUUAACUACAGAAAAUUUAAAUAAAUUCUCUUUGCAUAAAUAAAUACAUAAUACUUAUUAUAAAAAGAUUAGGAAGAUUUUCAAUUUUCAUUACUCUUCACUGGAAGACCAAAUGGAUUUGGACUACAUUAUUCUGUUUUUAGAAGAUUUUUUCAGAUCUUCCUUCCAUGUUUGUCCUGACCAAACCAAUCAAUUAAAAGCAAGAAAAUCUUUCCCACAAUCCACCGGGAACAGACCAAAUCUUUCUUCUUUUUUUUUUUUAAACCUUAAUGUCCACAAAUUACAAGCCCAAUAGCCCAAACUGAUCCAAAAGGUCUUUCCAGUCAAAUUGGUCAAAAUAACUAGUUGAGUCAAGAACUCACCUGCUGAAGUGAGAAAUGUCGUUUUUGGGCAGAGUCGCCGGCGGAGGCCAAGACGGAAAGCAGGGACGGCUUUCUUCCUCGCUUCUCCUCUUCCUUUCCCGACCAGCGACACUCCUCUCCUCCCCGAUCUGAUGAAUCCCCGUUCAUUUAGCUCCUGCAGCCGCAUUCUUUACUCGCCGGAGGCUCUCUCUUUCUUUCUCUCUCGGUGGAUGAGUGCUGUUAUCUGUCUGGGGUCAAUCUGUUUUCAAAUUUGAGUAUGUAUGUGCUUAAGUACAAAGCAUGCUGCUAGAAACAGCCUCAGGACUUGCAAUUUCUCAUGCAAGAGGAGAGAAAAUCACUGUGCUAUUUCAUUACGAAUGGUGGAGGUAGUCCUGAUGCUGCGGGCUGCAGCUGCAGAUUCUCAAUUCUACGUACUUACAAGUUCAAUUUUGCCUGCAAUUGAAUGUACUUCUUCAGAUACCUCAAUUCUAUGUACUAACAACUUCAAUUUGGCCUGCAGGUUCUCAAUUCUAUGUAGCAACAAGUUCAUUUUUGCCUGCAAUUGAAUAUACUUCUUCAGAUACCUUAUUCAUUUCAGUAACCCUGUAUUUCAUUACGCAAAUCUGGUUGUUUUUAACCAAAUUUCAGUAACCCUGCAUUUCUCAUUUAGCCAGAAUUACGUAAUCAAGACUUUAGGCAACAUAGAAAAGCACAUACAUUACGUCCUUAUUUGUCACUGUACCAAAUUUUAUUGCUUCCUAACAUUUCUUUGCAGCCAUCGAAAGUACAGCUUGCAGUUCACGGUGACUACAUUCUUAUCUGGAGUUCCAACUCUUGGCCCCUUUGAGAAAAUAUUCAAUGCAAUUGAACCAUGGAUGCCAAGUGAAGCCUUGUUUUCUAGAGAAAUCUCAGGACAAAUAUUCUGUCAUAUCUGAUUGCAUAGUUCUAUAUCAGCAAAGAUAUGGCAUGUAGAUUUUUUUGGAUGAUUGAAUAGCAAGACUGAGACCUUUCUUUUAGAACAUCCGGUUGGAUGGUGAAUUUCUUGGGUGGUUGUAUAAAACUUUAUUGUAGUUUAUUAGUGGAUUUUGUAGAAAAAAUAUUUUGAGAUGUGUAGGACUUUCUCUUUCUUUUU